rnacentral:rRNA from 1 species
CGGACGGGUGAGUAAUGUCUGGGAAACUGCCUGAUGGAGGGGGAUAACUACUGGAAACGGUAGCUAAUACCGCAUAACGUCGCAAGACCAAAGAGGGGGACCUUCGGGCCUCUUGCCAUCGGAUGUGCCCAGAUGGGAUUAGCUAGUAGGUGGGGUAACGGCUCACCUAGGCGACGAUCCCAAGCUGGUCUGAGAGGAUGACCAGCCACACUGGAACUGAGACACGGUCCAG